UGGUGCCUGGGACAUCAGUGCUCAGUAAAUAUUAGCUCCAUAGAAAAGGGAACUCCACAAACAGAAUCUAACUGUGCCAAACUAACACACUGUGGAUCACUGGCCUUUCUUUUAUCUGUCUAUAAAAGAAAAAACAAUAUACAGUAGAUCGAAGUACCCAGAUUUCUGGCCAUGAGAACAGGACAUGGUACCCGAGGUCUUCCUGGAAUUAAAAAAAAAAAAAUCGUCUUCAUAGGAGGAUCCACAUCUCGGCAGAGAAAGCAGCCAGAUCUCUUAUGUAAGACAUGAGGACCCAGGGAGAUGAUGACUCUCUUCUUUUAUAAGGGAUUCCUCAGAUGGGAGCUUUGUGCCACGGGUGUUACAGAGGGGUCAAGACCUCUAGCAACCUGCAUGCCUUGGCCAGCCCAUUAACACUUUGGUGCCUUUAAAGGACUUUUCCCUUAACCUGUGAUAUCCAAUGGCUGAAUCUCCCACCUACAGCCCCAGUGGAAGGAACCAAGCUUUACCCUGUGUACUCAACAACAAAACAUAAUCGUAAGGGUAAGGGUUGAUGAACGUUUGUUAAAAUUAAAAAAAAAAAAAUCUGAAGCAGUGCUUACAAGACUCUCUGCAAAGCCUUGAAUGUUUAAAUGAAUGACAUGGGGAUAGAAGUAAAAAGCUCUUGCAAUGAGUUGUUUACACUAAUCCGUCGGGUCAUGGAAAUUUUGCUCGAGAUCUGUUUGUGUGGGAACAACACUGGAAUACUAGCUUGCCGGUGCCAGCUUUGAAACCGACACAAUGAAUAGCUAUUGUUCUAACACAAUCCGGCUGCUCAUGUCUACACACUGAAGAUGACCUUCCUCUUUAGAAAUAACUUCCAGCCAUUAUAUAGUUUUUAAAAUUGUUAUUGGUGUACCCAAUGUUCUGGAUGCCUGGGGAAGAGGAAAACUACAUAAAGACAUUUCAGACUCUCUCCUAAAAGGAUUCUACAACUUCCCUAUUUUGUUAAGUCACCCAAGUUACUGCAUUCCUGGCGUAAUGAGAAAUGGUGGAGGAGAUAUAAAAUAAAGGG